rnacentral:rRNA from 1 species
AUUGAACGCUGGCGGCAUGCCUUACACAUGCAAGGCGAACGGCAGCACAGGAGCAAUCCUGGUGGCGAGUGGCGAACGGGUGAGUAAUGUAUCGGAACGUGCCCAGUCGUGGGGGAUAACGUAGCGAAAGCUACGCUAAUACCGCAUACGAUCUGUGGAUGAAAGCGGGGGACCGUAAGGCCUCGCGCGAUUGGAGCGGCCGAUAUCAGAUUAGGUAGUUGGUGGGGUAAAGGCCUACCAAGCCGACGAUCUGUAGCUGGUCUGAGAGGACGACCAGCCACACUGGGACUGAGACACGGCCCAGACUCCUACGGGAGGCAGCAGUGGGGAAUUUUGGACAAUGGGCGCAAGCCUGAUCCAGCAAUGCCGCGUGCAGGAUGAAGGCCUUCGGGUUGUAAACUGCUUUUGUACGGAGCGAAAAGGCUCUCUCUAAUACAGGGGGCUCAUGACGGUACCGUAAGAAUAAGCACCGGCUAACUACGUGCCAGCCGCCGCAGUAA